GUACUCACUUCAGCAGCACAUAGAAUAAAAUUGGAAUGAUACAGAGACUAGUGUGGCUCCUGUGCAAGAAUGACAUGCAUAUUUGUGAAGUGUUUCAGAUUUUU
ensembl:snRNA U6 U6 spliceosomal RNA